rnacentral:misc_RNA from 1 species
UUUCCGUAGGUGAACCUGCGGAAGGAUCAUUAUCGAAAAGCAAUCCGGGGGGGAGGCCACCGAGCGAAGUUUGGUAGAUCGUAGGGAUUGUCGCUGGCCUUUGGAAACGAAGGCAUGUGCCCGUUCCGAGUUCUCCUUAGUCCUCCUUUGCUUUUCCUUUGGAAGACCCUUUCUUCACACCCGUGCACACAUUGUAGGUCUCCGCGGGGGGAUCUAUCUCUUCCCAAAACUCUCCGUAUGUCCAGGAAGGUAUCUAAAGCGUCGAACGGCUCGGCUCCAUGCCCGGUCGCGGACGGUAAAGAACCAUAAUACAACUUUCAGCAACGGAUCUCUUGGCUCUCGCUUCGUUAAAGACGCAGC